rnacentral:rRNA from 1 species
CACCGCCCGUCACACCAUGGGAGUUGGCUCUACCCGAAGACGGUGUGCUAAACCUCGCAAGAGGAGGCAGCCGGCCACGGUCGGGUCAGCGACUGGGGGUG